GAGCAGUGGAAUUUGUGAAAAUUGGACGCACACCAACACUAUUUAAUUGGUUGGACAUAGUUUAUUCAAUGUGGAUACUUUUUAUAAUUGAUUUUUUUUUUCAAAACUUUUUUUAAGCAUAAGAAAUACUAGAUCACAAGGAUAUAUUGAUACCUUAUCUUAUUUGUAAGUACUUGUGUAUGGACUAUACUAAUACACACCACAUUGAAUUCACCUGAUUUUCCU
rnacentral:lncRNA from 1 species